AUUGAACGCUGGCGGCAUGCCUUACACAUGCAAGUCGAACGGUAACAGGUCUUCGGAUGCUGACGAGUGGCGAACGGGUGAGUAAUACAUCGGAACGUGCCUAGUAGUGGGGGAUAACUACUCGAAAGAGUGGCUAAUACCGCAUGAGAUCUACGGAUGAAAGCAGGGGAUCGCAAGACCUUGUGCUACUAGAGCGGCCGAUGGAAGAUUAGGGAGUUGGUGGGAUAAAAGCUUACCAAGCCGACGAUCUGUAGCUGGUCUGAGAGGACGAUCAGCCACACUGGGACUGAGACACGGCCCAGACUCCUACGGGAGGCAGCAGUGGGGAAUUUUGGACAAUGGGCGAAAGCCUGAUCCAGCAAUGCCGCGUGCAGGAUGAUGGCCUUCGGGUUGUAAACUGCUUUUGUACGGAACGAAAAGCCCCGGGUUAAUACCCUGGGGUCAUGACGGUACCGUAAGAAUAAGCACCGGCUAACUACGUGCCAGCCGCCGCCGUAA
rnacentral:rRNA from 1 species